GAUGAACGCUGACAGAAUGCUUAACACAUGCAAGUCAACUUGAAUUUGGGUUUUUAACUUAGGUUUGGGUGGCGGACGGGUGAGUAACGCGUAAAGAACUUGCCUCACAGCUAGGGACAACAUUUGGAAACGAAUGCUAAUACCUAAUAUUAUGAUAAUAGGGCAUCCUAUAAUUAUGAAAGCUAUAAGCGCUGUGGGAGAGCUUUGCGUCCCAUUAGCUAGUUGGAGAGGUAACGGCUCACCAAGGCGAUGAUGGGUAGCCGGUCUGAGAGGGUGAUCGGCCACAAGGGGACUGAGACACGGCCCUUACUCCUACGGGAGGCAGCAGUGGGGAAUAUUGGACAAUGGACCGAGAGUCUGAUCCAGCAAUUCUGUGUGCACGAUGAAGUUUUUCGGAAUGUAAAGUGCUUUCAGUUGGGAAGAAACAAAUGACGGUACCAACAGAAGAAGUGACGGCUAAAUACGUG
rnacentral:rRNA from 1 species